GACGAACGCUGGCGGCGUGCUUAACACAUGCAAGUCGAACGGAAAGGCCCUGCUUUUGUGGGGUGCUCGAGUGGCGAACGGGUGAGUAACACGUGAGUAACCUGCCCUUGACUUUGGGAUAACUUCAGGAAACUGGGGCUAAUACCGGAUAGGAGCUCCUGCUGCAUGGUGGGGGUUGGAAAGUUUCGGCGGUUGGGGAUGGACUCGCGGCUUAUCAGCUUGUUGGUGGGGUAGUGGCUUACCAAGGCUUUGACGGGUAGCCGGCCUGAGAGGGUGACCGGCAACAUGGGGAUUGAGAUACGGCCCAGACUCUUACGGGAGGAAAAGGGGGGGAAUAUUGCACAAGGGGCGGAGGCCUGAUGCAGAAACGCCGCGUGCGGGAUGACGGCUUUCGGGUUGUAAACCGCUUUCGCCUGUGACGAAGCGUGGGUGAGGGUAAUGGGUAAAGAAGCACCGGCUAACUACGU
rnacentral:rRNA from 1 species